GUGGGUAUAGCUCAGUGGUAAAGUGCAUGCUUAGCAUGCAUGAGGUCCUGGGCUCAAUCCCCAGGUCCUCCA
rfam:Camelus ferus unplaced genomic scaffold scaffold715, whole genome shotgun sequence.